GAGGUGCUUGCACCUUAUCUUAGCGGCGGACGGGUGAGUAAUGCUUAGGAAUCCGCCUAUUAGUGGGGGACAACAUUCCGAAAGGAAUGCUAAUACCGCAUACGUCCUACGGGAGAAAGCAGGGGAUCUUCGGACCUUGCGCUAAUAGAUGAGCCUAAGUCGGAUUAGCUAGUUGGUGGGGUAAAGGCCUACCAAGGCGACGAUCUGUAGCGGGUCUGAGAGGAUGAUCCGCCACACUGGGACUGAGACACGGCCCAGACUUCUACGGGAGGCAGCAGUGGGGAAUAUUGGACAAUGGGGGGAACCCUGAUCCAGCCAUGCCGCGUGUGUGAAGAAGGCCUUAUGGUUGUAAGCACUUUAAGCGAGGAGGAGGCUACUGAGACUAAUACUCUUGGAUAGUGGACGUUACUCGCAGAAUAAGCACCGGCUAACUCUGUGCCAGCAGCCGCGGUAAUACAGAGGGUGCGAGCGUUAAUCGGAUUUACUGGGCGUAAAGCGUGCGUAGGCGGCUUUUUAAGUCGGAUGUGAAAUCCCCGAGCUUAACUUGGGAAUUGCACUCGAUACUGGGAAGCUAGAGUAUGGGAGAGGAUGGUAGAAUUCCAGGUGUAGCGGUGAAAUGCGUAGAGAUCUGGAGGAAUACCGAUGGCGAAGCAGCCAUCUGGCCUAAUACUGACCUGAGGUACGAAAGCUGGGGAGCAAACAGGAUUAGAUACCCUGGUAGUCCAUGCCGUAAACGAUGUCUACUAGCCGUUGGGGCCUUUGAGGCUUUUAGUGGCGCAGCUUA
rnacentral:rRNA from 1 species